GAAGCAAGCCAGACCGCCGCUGGUGCGAUCGUGGAAACACGGCACUGGAGGAAGGUCCGGACUGCAUAGAGCGGCGUAGCAGCUAACGGCUGCCCGGCGAAAGCCGAGGAUCAGAGCAACAGAGACGAGUCGGAGCGGGCGCAAGCCCGCUCCGGGUGAAACGGGCAAUCUCUACGCGCAGCAACACCAAGUAGGCCAGCGUCGAUGCGGCUCGCAGAGCUGGCGGGUAGGUGGCACCGAGCCGGGCAGCGAUGCCCGGCCCAGAGGAAUGGCGGUCACGCGGGGAAUCGCAAGAGGACCCGCGCACAGAAUCCGGCCUAUCGGCUUGCUUCACCC
rnacentral:RNase_P_RNA from 1 species